rnacentral:rRNA from 1 species
UGCACCUGUCUGGUGCUAUACUGCAGUCGAGCGGACAGAAGGGAGCUUGCUCCCGGAUGUUAGCGGCGGACGGGUGAGUAACACGUGGGUAACCUGCCUGUAAGACUGGGAUAACUCCGGGAAACCGGAGCUAAUACCGGAUAGUUCCUUGAACCGCAUGGUUCAAGGAUGAAAGACGGUUUCGGCUGUCACUUACAGAUGGACCCGCGGCGCAUUAGCUAGUUGGUGAGGUAACGGCUCACCAAGGCGACGAUGCGUAGCCGACCUGAGAGGGUGAUCGGCCACACUGGGACUGAGACACGGCCCAGACUCCUACGGGAGGCAGCAGUAGGGAAUCUUCCGCAAUGGACGAAAGUCUGACGGAGCAACGCCGCGUGAGUGAUGAAGGUUUUCGGAUCGUAAAGCUCUGUUGUUAGGGAAGAACAAGUGCAAGAGUAACUGCUUGCACCUUGACGGUACCUAACCAGAAAGCCACGGCUAACUACGUGCCAGCAGCCGCGGUAAUACGUAGGUGGCAAGCGUUGUCCGGAAUUAUUGGGCGUAAAGGGCUCGCAGGCGGUUUCUUAAGUCUGAUGUGAAAGCCCCCGGCUCAACCGGGGAGGGUCAUUGGAAACUGGGAAACUUGAGUGCAGAAGAGGAGAGUGGAAUUCCACGUGUAGCGGUGAAAUGCGUAGAGAUGUGGAGGAACACCAGUGGCGAAGGCGACUCUCUGGUCUGUAACUGACGCUGAGGAGCGAAAGCGUGGGGAGCGAACAGGAUUAGAUACCCUGGUAGUCCACGCCGUAAACGAUGAGUGCUAAGUGUUAGGGGGUUUCCGCCCCUUAGUGCUGCAGCUAACGCAUUAAGCACUCCGCCUGGGGAGUACGGUCGCAAGACUGAAACUCAAGGAAUUGACGGGGGCCCGCACAAGCGGUGGAGCAUGUGUUUAUUUCGAAGCAACGCGAAGAACCUUACCAGGUCUUGACAUCCUCUGACACCCUAGAGAUAGGGCUUUCCCUUCGGGGACAGAGUGACAGGUGGUGCAUGGUUGUCGUCAGCUCGUGUCGUGAGAUGUUGGGUUAAGUCCCGCAACGAGCGCACCCUGAUCUAGUGCCAGCAUCAGUGGCACCUCUAGUGACUGCGUGACAUCGAGAGGUGGGAGACGUCAUCAUCAUGCCGUUAGGACUCCUACACGGUCUACAUGGACGACAAGUCUCUCGCGCCUAACUCGCCAAUGU